UACCGGGGGGGCAAGCGUUGUUCGGAAUUACUGGGCGUAAAGGGCUCGUAGGCGGCCAACUAAGUCGGAUGUGAAAUCCCCAGGCUUAACCUGGGAACUGCAUCCGAUACUGGAUGGCUUGAAUCCGGGAGAGGGAUGCAGAAUUCCAGGUGUAGCGGUGAAAUGCGUAGAUAUCUGGAGGAAUACCGGUGGCGAAGGCGGCAUCCUGGACCGGCAUUGACGCUGAGUGAGCGAAAGCCAGGGGAGCAAACAGG
rnacentral:rRNA from 1 species